UCAUUUCAAAAACCGUAACCCAUCGUCAUCGUCUACCUCCGUUGCCUCGCGUUCUUGAGAGAAAAGAGACCAGAAACCCUAGCCACCAUCGUCCAUCAUCUGCCUCCAUCACCUAGCGUUCUUGAGAGAAAGAGACUAGAAACCCUAGCUCAUCGUCCAUCAUCUGCCUUCAUCACCUCGCGUUCUUAUCGAUUCAGAAAGUAAGAUCAGUUCGUGUUCUUUUGCGUAACUUCGACGAUUUAGGGCUCUCUUUCUCUGGUGUGCGACUGCGAUUCCAGACUUUCAGCGGCAAUCCAAUUUCUCUCUGAUGGAGACAAGUCAUUUAAUUCAUCUGCAUCAUUCGGGUAAUUUCAACAAGUGUAACAAGUAUGUUGGACGGGACUUGCAGCUGUUUGAUAAUGUGGACCCUAAUACAAUGUCAUAUUUUGAAGUUCAAGGUAUACUGAAAAGCCUUCAUUUGACUGCACACAGGAGGUGAUGGGAAUGGUAGAGGUAAUGUAAACGAGACAGUUGCAGAAACUGUGAGAGUGAGACCUACAAGGACUGUUGAGGAAGAGUUGCAGCCAUACAAGGGCUUGGGAUAGGGAGAGCAGCACGGACAGCACAAGGAAGAGGUGAUAGGACUGUUAGAGGAACUGGGAGAGGAAGAGCUACAUGGACUAGGCAAGGGAAAGGUAGGGGCAGUGGUAGCAUUGGAGUGACAACACAAGGAAGGGGUGCAUUAGACAAUGGGACUUCCAACUUUGUAGAUGUUCCGGACACAACUAGUGAGGUUUUUAAUGUUAGCCAAUCUCAAAUUGUUGACAUGCCUACUCUCCUAUCACAAGCCACCCAAGACUAUUGAUGGAAUUUGGUAUCUCAGCAACAUAAUUGGUGUAUGAUGACUUAAAGUUGCAGAAACCGGUAUUGGGUUUUGUUUAGGAUGAUGGUUGAUGUAUCACGGCUUUACUUUUUGAAGGUGCAUUAGAUGCUUUAGAUGUAAUGUUUAAUGAAUGCUUGAUUGCUUGUCAGUAAGGUAUUCACUUGUAUUAUUGGGUUUUUAUUUUACUGAAAGUGGUACAUUUGUUGAAUGUGAAA